UUCCCUUCUCAUUGUCGCCUUGUUGUCUGUUUUUUUCUUUAGGAGGCACCAGACACCAAGCCCAGGACCUCCUGUGGGGGUGGGCCCUCGACUGCGGGAGCCACAUCUGCUCCCCUCCCCUAGGUUUCUGAAAAGGGGUUCUUUUGGCCCCACAUGUAGCUCCAUGUGCCCGCCCGUGUGAAACUGCUAGAAGAACUGUACGAGUUAAGCAGACUCAUUGCAGAAGUCUGAGACGGUAAACUGCAAAUAGCAAGAAUCUCUGAGUAACACUGUUAAAUACCAGACAUUGUCAGGAUGGUGAGCGAGCCCUGGAAGACUGAGUGGGGGAAAGGAUGGCAGGACAAAACCGACUGGCAUUGGACAGCCCUGCUGCCAAAGAGACCCUGCUCUCCUCCUUUGCCGUCUGGGUCUCACACACUCCUAAUCCGCCCUUACGGACUGAGAUUACACGACGCCACGCCCAGGCCCCUGGGGCUCUUUCCAGCAGCUGAUCCUAAUCCACAGAGAAAACCAGUUCUCACCUGUAAUCCUGCUUUGGACUCUUCAAACCGGAGUCAGCCUUCCUGAAAGCAGUGGGAGCAUCCUCUCGUUCCCUCUUGACGUGGCCGUUUCCCCACGGCCCUGGCUGAACAACAUCUCCUGAAAGAGUAAAGGAGCACCUACAAGUUAGAAUCAAGGUAACAUCAUCACUGAGGCAUUUUUGCUUUUUUGAGACUCUGCAAACUUAACCUCAACUAUCGCC
rnacentral:lncRNA from 1 species